GAUGAACGCUAGCGGGAGGCCUAACACAUGCAAGCCGAGCGGUAUUGUUUCUUCGGAAAUGAGAGAGCGGCGUACGGGUGCGGAACACGUGCGCAACCUGCCUUUAUCUGGGGGAUAGCCUUUCGAAAGGAAGAUUAAUACUCCAUAAUAUAUUGAACGGCAUCGUUUAAUAUUGAAAGCUCCGGCGGAUAGAGAUGGGCACGCGCAAGAUUAGCUAGUUGGUGAGGUAACGGCUCACCAAGGCGAUGAUCUUUAGGGGGCCUGAGAGGGUGAUCCCCCACACUGGUACUGGGACACGGACCAGACUCCUACGAGAGGCAGCAGUGAGGAAUAUUGUUCAAUGGGUGCAAGCCUGAACCAGCCAUCCCGCGUGAAGGACGACUGCCCUAUGGGUUGUAAACUUCUUUUGUAUAGGGAUAAACCUACCCUCCUGAGGGUAGCUGAAGGUACUAUACGAAUAAGCACCGGCUAACUCCGUGCCAGCCGCCGCGGUAAGAC
rnacentral:rRNA from 1 species